CCUACGGGUGGCAGCAGUGGGGAAUAUUGCACAAUGGGCGCAAGCCUGAUGCAGCCAUGCCGCGUGUGUGAAGAAGGCCUUCGGGUUGUAAAGCACUUUCAGCGGGGAGGAAGGCGUUAAGGUUAAUAACCUUGGCGAUUGACGUUACCCGCAGAAGAAGCACCGGCUAACUCCGUGCCAGCAGCCGCGGUAGUACGGAGGGUGCAAGCGUUAAUCGGAAUUACUGGGCGUAAAGCGCACGCAGGCGGUCUGUCAAGUCGGAUGUGAAAUCCCCGGGCUCAACCUGGGAACUGCAUUCGAAACUGGCAGGCUAGAGUCUUGUAGAGGGGGGUAGAAUUCCAGGUGUAGCGGUGAAAUGCGUAGAGAUCUGGAGGAAUACCGGUGGCGAAGGCGGCCCCCUGGACAAAGACUGACGCUCAGGUGCGAAAGCGUGGGGAGCAAACAGGAUUAGAUACCCUGGUAGUC
rnacentral:rRNA from 1 species